rnacentral:misc_RNA from 1 species
GCAUGCCCUUAUUGAUUAAUCAAGAAAGCGUACAAAUAUGACUCUCAAAUCAAGCACUAGCUUAGCUACAAAUAAUAUAAGUUUAAGUUUUUUUUUAUAAACCCAGAGAAAAUGGGAAGGUAGUGGAACCCAACCAACUGCUACCAGCAAUGAAGUUGUCAGGAGUAAACUCUAGAGCCUCAGUUGCACUAGUAAUCACCUUGAAACCCUUCCAGCUAACCCUCUGGGAUAUUCCAGCACCAACCCCAGUGUUUUGAUACUCUCCAUAAAACAAUGUGCUCAGUGCAAAAUCCCCAUUCCACUCGUGCCAUCCAGCAGGGUGUAUCACGUCACUGAUAUCUGAUUGCAUUAUAACAGUUCUUGAAUACUCCUUCCAGGGCCUUCCAAGAUAAGUUGGGAAGCUGCUCUGGACAGGNNNNNNNNNNNGGAACCAAUUCUACUCUUUUGAAUUACAAUGCCGGUGUUCUGAUUAGGGUCAGUCCUGCCUUGGGCUGUGACCAUAUUUUUCUGGCCUGAAUUGGGUUUACGAGCAUGGAUGUCGCAGUCCUGGAAAACGGCUGCUGAAUUGCCAAAAAUAAAAUCAACCGUUCCUGCAAUUAAGCAGUUUAUGAAAAAUUGACGAUUGGAGUGGACAUAGAGGGUGUCUUGGUAAGCUAGCAUAUCACAUUCGUAGAAAGCUGCAAGAUCAGCCCCAGCCCUUAGUGCCACUGCUUGGUGCUUUGAGGGACCAGCCGUGUUUUCGAAGGUGACACCCCUCGCUAAGAAUCCUUGACCCACUACAGCAACUGUGGCAGAGUGGAAGGUUGUGCUUCCAUCAACUACAU